UCCUUAGAUGGAAGGGAUGUCACCUGUGGCAAGUCCUGAUAGCAGCCCAGGAGAAUGUUGAUCAAGGCCUCGCUAAGCAGAACCUACACUCAAUGGCUGACCUGCUAACAGUGGAAAGCAUUUCUCCCAUUUAAAUAGAGAUGAACCUGGCGAAAAGUUGUUCAGUGGUUAAGAUGCUGGCAGAUACCUGGAAGAUCUUCAGCCACCCAAGAUGAACAACAAGAGAGUAAGAGCAAAUCAUUCCCAAGGCUUCUAUAUGUGAAAGAAAAGAGAAGAUUCCCCAAUUUUGAAUUGCUCAUGGUAUGGUGCAGAGUUGGAGAUACCCAACUUAAGGACUCAUCAUUGAGACUGGCGGUCUGGCGAGCCAUGGCAGUGCGCCGACUUUGAGUGCAAGUGUUUGGCACAUCAAGCCGAAUCACCAGCAAGCCGCACACCAACAUUCAAAUGUUUUUUUCCACGCCCAUAGGCAUGACCUGUUGUGAAGGGGUUAUGUGCAUGCAUGGUUUUUGCAGAAAGUUUUUUUUUUAUUCUUUUUAUUUUUUUAUAUUUUUUUUUAAUUUGAUAUUUGUACUAGUAUCAUAUUAUGUAGUGAUUGUUAUUAGGGUAUUGCUAUUUUGGUAUUGGUAAUGCAACAAAAUGAAAAAGUGUGAUUAAUACAAAAUUUUUAAAAAUUACCCAUUUAAAUGGGAGAAAUGCUUUCCACUGUUAGCAGGUCAGCCAUUGAGUGUUCUGCUUAGCGAGGCCUUUAUCAAUAUUCUCCUGGGCUGCUAUCAGGACUUGCCACAGGUGACAUCCCUUCCAUCUAAGGAUCAAG